GGAGGUGUGGUGAAGUUGGUUAUCACGUCGCCCUGUCAAGGCGAAGGCCGCGGGUUCGAGUCCCGUCACUUCCG
rnacentral:tRNA from 1 species